rnacentral:rRNA from 1 species
UACGUAGGGGGCGAGCGUUGUCCGGAGUUACUGGGCGUAAAGGGCAUGCAGGCGGUCCGACACGUUUUGUGUGACAGCGGGUGGCUUAACUACCCGAGGAUACGAAAGACGGUAGGACUUGAGGACUCGAGAGGGACACGGAAUUCCGGGUGGAGUGGUGAAAUGCGUAGAUAUCCGGAGGAAUACCAAAGGCGAAGGCAGUGUCCUGGCUGGUAACUGACGCUCAGGUGCGAAAGCUAGGGGAGCGAACAGG